rnacentral:lncRNA from 1 species
UGGCACCUUCCUUUUCUUUCUCAAAGGAUUGUUAUCCUACUGAAGACACAUCUUCAGAAAUGUAAAAGAGCUCUUUCAACUUUUGAAGAAUUUUCUCCCACUGAGCAUCAUCGAAUUUACAACUAAAUUGAUAAUUUUUUGAUGCUCUCAAAAAUAUCACACGGUGAUAUGAUCAUUUGGCCACUUCUAAUAAGUGCCUU